UUCCACAGCUGGCUGUGUUGUGGGUCAGAGGAAAACUUCUGUAAGGUGGGCCUCUCCUUCUCCCAUGUGAGUUCUGGGGAUUGAAGUCAGGUGGACAAGGUAAGCAGAAAACGCCUUUUUUCGCUGAGCCAUCUCAGGAGCCCUCACUGAGCUUUCUAGAAUGUAUCUUUUGCCUAAAACUUUAACUUGAAGUAUAAUAGUGCAGCUGAGAUGCCCAGUCCAGCAUUGUGAUGAACUAAGAAGCUGCUGAGACAUUUCUGGUUGCUGCCUCAUCAGGACAGGACCAGCUUUGCCUCUGAG
rnacentral:lncRNA from 1 species